rnacentral:rRNA from 1 species
UAAGGAAUAUUGGUCAAUGGAGGCAACUCUGAACCAGCCAUGCCGCGUGCAGGAAGACGGCCCUCUGGGUUGUAAACUGCUUUUAUUCGGGAAUAAACCUAUCUACGUGUAGAUAGCUGAAUGUACCGAAGGAAUAAGGAUCGGCUAACUCCGUGCCAGCAGCCGCGGUAAUACGGAGGAUCCAAGCGUUAUCCGGAUUUAUUGGGUUUAAAGGGUGCGUAGGCGGCCUAUUAAGUCAGGGGUGAAAGACGGUAGCUCAACUAUCGCAGUGCCCUUGAUACUGAUGGGCUUGAAUGAACUAGAGGUAGGCGGAAUGUGACAAGUAGCGGUGAAAUGCAUAGAUAUGUCACAGAACACCGAUUGCGAAGGCAGCUUACUAUGGUUUUAUUGACGCUGAGGCACGAAAGCGUGGGGAUCAAACAGG